rnacentral:rRNA from 1 species
AACUUACCGAAAGGUGAGCUAAUGCCGGAUGAGUUAUAUAAGUGCAUGUUUAUAUAGGAAAAGUUGGGGAGACCUGACGCUGAAAGAUGGACUCGCGUCCCAUUAGCUAGUUGGUAGGGUAAUGGCCUACCAAGGCGACGAUGGGUAGCCGGCCUGAGAGGGUGGCCGGCCACACUGGGACUGAGACACGGCCCAGACUCCUACGGGAGGCAGCAGUGGGGAAUUUUGCGCAAUGCUCGUAAGAGUGACGCAGCGACGCCGCGUGAAUGACGAAGGCCUUCGGGUCGUAAAGUUCUUUCGACAGGGAAGAAAAUGCCUAUAAGUAACUGUGUAUGUAUUGACGGUACCUGCAUAAGCAGCCCCGGCUAACUCCGUGCCAGCAGCCGCGGUAAUACGGAGGGGGCGAGCGUUGUUCGGAGUGACUGGGCGUAAAGAGCACGUAGGCGGUGUUGUAAGUCAUUAGUCAAAGACUAGAGCUCAACUUUAGUAAGGCUAGUGAUACUAUAAUACUAGAGUAUCAGAGAGGAUUGCAGAAUUCCUGGUGUAGCGGUGAAAUGCGUAGAUAUCAGGAGGAAUACCGUUAGCGAAGGCGGCAAUCUGGCUGGAAACUGACGCUGAGGUGCGAAAGCGUGGGUAGCAAACAGGAUUAGAUACCCUGGUAGUCCACGCUGUAAACGAUGGAUGCU